rnacentral:rRNA from 1 species
AGCGAACGCUGGCGGCAGGCUUAACACAUGCAAGUCGAACGGGCACUUCGGUGUCAGUGGCAGACGGGUGAGUAACACGUGGGAACGUACCUUUUGGUUCGGAACAACUGAGGGAAACUUCAGCUAAUACCGGAUAAGCCCUUACGGGGAAAGAUUUAUCGCCGAAAGAUCGGCCCGCGUCUGAUUAGCUAGUUGGUAGGGUAAUGGCCUACCAAGGCGACGAUCAGUAGCUGGUCUGAGAGGAUGAUCAGCCACAUUGGGACUGAGACACGGCCCAAACUCCUACGGGAGGCAGCAGUGGGGAAUAUUGGACAAUGGGGGCAACCCUGAUCCAGCCAUGCCGCGUGAGUGAUGAAGGCCCUAGGGUUGUAAAGCUCUUUUGUACGGGAAGAUAAUGACGGUACCGUAAGAAUAAGCCCCGGCUAACUUCGUGCCAGCAGCCGCAGUAA